rnacentral:rRNA from 1 species
AAAAACAUGGCUGUGUGAUUUAUUAGUAUAGAGUCUAGCCUGCCCACUGAGUUUUUAAAGGGCUGCGGUAAUUUGACCGUGCAAAGGUAGCAUAAUCAAUAGUCUUUUAAUUGAAGGCUUGAAUGAACGGCUGGAUAAGAGAGAAGCUGUCUUUUUUUCAAGUUAGAAUUUGACUUUUAAGUGAAAAGGCUUAAAUUACUUAGGGGGACGAUAAGACCCUAUAAAACUUAAUAAAAGGUUUAUUUUAACUAUAAAUUAUAUUUAAAAGUUGUGAAAUCUUCUUUUUAUUUUGUUGGGGCGACAUUGAUAUAAACUGUAACUGUCUUAAUAAUAAAAUAAUUAUCAUUAUGAGCUGAUCCUUUUUUAGGGAUAAUAAGUAUAAGUUACUUUAGGGAUAACAGCGUAAUUUUCUCUGAGAGUUCUUAUCGAAGAGAGUAGUUGCGACCUCGAUGUUGAAUUAAAAUUUCAUGCAGGUGUAGCCGCUUGCUGUGUGGGUCUGUUCGACCUUUAAAAUUUUACAUGAUUUGAGUUCAAACCGGUGUGAGCCAGGUUGGUUUCUAU